CUGGUGGUCUGAGGCUCCCAUGAAGGAUGAAACCACUCGGUUCAUUUUACUGGGACCCCAGGAGACCCCCCUUUUACUGCAGAAUGGAUUUGAACACUAGCACAGCUUAUAGCUACAUCCAGAUGGCAACGAGUUCCAUCAUCUUUGCUGUGACUCAACCGAAGCACUGAACCCUUGACCUGUUUCAUGUUUGGUCUUGACCUUUAAUGUACGUGUGUAUAUCACAUCUUGUUCCACACGUCAGACGCUGGAGGUUAC
ensembl:lincRNA Gm13200 predicted gene 13200